rnacentral:lncRNA from 1 species
AUGGUAGCCUUUGCCACAAAGCCAAAAGGGUAAACCAGGGUUGGUGACAGAUGGAGCUAGACAGGUGAAAAUGCUGCCGAAAAGAAGUAACGAUGGUGCUGACACAAAAACUGGAGAAAAAUAAUCCUCCAACCAGAUUAGAUCUGCUGGAAGAUUCACAAAAUACGAAGCUGUGCACAGGAUUUUGGAGGGGGGCUGUAGACAACAGCAUCUGCAGGCAGUUGAAUUGGACAGGGCUGGGCUGCGAGAGAGCCUUGAAGGCAUUACACAGAUCAAGGGCAUCCUGCAAUAGAAGCCAUCCUCAGGAGCAGGCCUACCUCCAUGUCAACAGAAACUGAGAUACAGAAAGAAGUGGCCCAUUUCUUCAAGGGUGCUGCAGACUGAUGCAGAGGACAAAAAGAAAGACCUGAGCAUAUGCUGCUGCAACUGCUCCCCGCUCCAUGUGUAAGCAUAAAAUGAACGCUUUGGCAGAAGAUUCACAGGACCUUUCAUAAGUGUAACACUUCUGGAACUUUUAUUAUAUUGUAACACGUUGGUGGCAUAACACGGCAUUUGAUGGGAACUUUGACCAGUAUUCUCUUAGACAGACUUUUGGAACUGAGGGACGUUUCAGUUCAUUGGACUCAAGGACCAUGAAAUCCAUUGGCUUGCCAGCAUUUGUUUGCAUAAAAUGUCUUGCCAUUAGUUCUCCAUGAAAUCCUCUUGAAGGAAAAUUGAUCCAAAUUAUUCAAUGUUGUGUUUUAGACUAACAAAAUUAUCAGUUGGUUUUAAAGUACCGGUAUUUAAACGUAAUAACUGCUUUGAUAAUGUUUAUAAUUGUUAAGUAAUGGCUUGCGUAUUCCUUAAACUUUAUCACAUUAGUAUCAAGUAAUAUCCCAAAAUGAAUGAAGCACUGCCAAAUUGAAUACCAUCAUUUUCUUGUAAUGCUGUGGUACAGGUGAAUAUUAGUUGAAAUGUUGGUAUGUAUUUUGAUAACAUUACCGUUUAUAUGUCACUUUUUGCCUUUACUGUUGGGUCAUUUAAUGAAGAUGUAAAAUGAUGAUUACAGUCCUUGGUUCAGCUUUGACCACGUAAUCACCUAAAGAAUCUGAAUGGUUGAUGUAUAAUUCAAAAGAAAGGCACUCAAAAUUUGCAUACUGCUGCACAUUCAUUUUUGUUAGCACUUAUCGUCCCGUGUUAAAUCAUUCCAUAAUGGGUUCCAUUUUUCUUGUAUAAGUUACAACUUAUACUAUAUUGAAUUAAAAGUGGCGCUCCAGUGGCCCUCUGACAGCAGCCGAUGGCUAAGCGCUGUUGGACCGACGCCGAGCCGGCCACUGGUGGUCCGCUGGCGACAGCCGCCAAUGGCCCGAUGACUUUGCCGUCAGUGGGCUUCUUGUGGACUGCAACCAUGUUGCUGACUGGGCUCGCACAAAUUUGUCAGGUAAAUGUCUACGGUGCACUCCAUUUCAAGCAGAAGUAGAAACUAGAUCAGAAUGCUAUUUGUUUUUAUCACAGGAGGUAACUAGUUCAACUUUUAAUCUGGGAUAAGAAGUCAAAGAAUACACUGUGAUUAAGAUUUUUUGACUUAAAACGAAAUGAAAAUAUAUCCAAUACAUAGAUGGGUCUACUGAAUUGUGGACAAAAAUGUCUAAAAACAGUUAUGCAAAAGUUAUGAAAAGCAGUUUGGUGAUAAAAUGAAAAGCAAUCAUUUUUCUGACUUCAUUUACAAUGGCUAACUUCCCUUGUAGCUUUUUAAGAUCUGCUUUGAACAUUUGUUCUCCUUGAAAAAAUGUCCAACAAAUCCUCUUAAAUAAAAAACAAGACAUCUGAAUCAAACGCGCCCUUCGUUUUUGCAGGCUGCAUAGAAAACAGAGUUUGACAUAUAAAAUCACAGAAAAGUGAAUAGUGAUCCAUGUAAAAUUUAAGGACUGUGAAUAUCUAUGGCAAAACAGGACAUCUGUGCUAAUUCGCCAGCAUCUGAGGUCCAAUGGUACAGAGUAGGUAUUUUAAUACUACUUGUAACUUGGCAAAUACAUGUAUACAGAUGCCGACAUCCCAAGGACAACAUUUGGAAAUAUUUAUAGCCAGGUGAAACACCCCAAGGUCUCAUAUAAUGAUGAGGGUCUGACCAGCCAGAGUGGAACAAACUGACAUGUCUGGGGUGGCCAAUCGGAGGAAAAUGAAGAUAAAUGAGGAGGAGCAGGCUCAGAGACCAUGAAAGAUGAAGUUGGGAUGGGAAGUGGGGGAUGGAGGGAGAUGAAGCAAGGAUUGAAGCUAAAGGGAAGGGCAAGAAACAAGGGAUGGGGGGGAGUUGGGGAUGAACUGCUGCUUCAGGUGUGCGGCAUGGAUGGGGUGGAAAGAAGGUGAGCAAUACAGCUGUGAGGAACAAAAACAAGGAGAUGAAACCAAUCUUAGGGAAGAAAUGGGAGAGGGGGGUGAAAGGGAGAAAGAAAGAACCACAGCAGUGAGAUAUAAGAAAAAGAGGGAAUUUCUAGGGUACUCAAAGAAUGAAAAAGCUAUGGAAUGAUAUAUGAGAGAAAGGGAAAAGAUAAGAUGAAGCAAGGAAUACAGCUGGGGGUGGAGUAAGAAAGAAGGAAAGGAGAUAGAUGUAGCAUGAAAAAUUAGAUGAUAGGAUGUUGGUAUCUAGAGUAAAAUGAUAGCCACAAGAAGAAGCAAAAAUGAGGGGGAGAGGGGGCAAAACUUUGAAAAAAAAAGAUACAGUGCAUAAUGUUGGGCAGGAAUACAAUUUGGGGAAACUGUGGGGGGGGGGAGUUGAAGGAGGAAAGUCCUGAAUUAGAAUCAGUGCGAGCAAACAUGAAUAAUUCAUGAUGGUGUCCAGGAGAACAGGGCAGCAAUGAAGGCUAAAAACUGAUUGGCAUUACAGCUGAUGGGACAGGGAGAUCACUGUUCCACAGUUCCACCGCUCCCCCUGUCUCUCUCCCUCUCUCUAGCUCACUCAUCUACCUGGACUGACAUUCCCCCUAGGGAGGGGAGAUCGAAUUCACACCCUAAUGGCUUCAACGUGGCUACCCGUCUUUAAUAAAACAUCCAUACGGUCAUACGGAUGGCCAGUCAGUGACACUUUACAUUUCUCUUCCCCCCCUCCCUUUUUGGCCAACCUUUUAUAACUCUAUUAUCCAAAUGCAUGUGCUGUGUUUGGAUGCAUGAAUAAUUUGUAGUGUGCCCCCAAGUCUCUUUGACUAUCCCCCCCUUGCUAAGAAAGGUAAAUGUGAGUUUUAUUUUGUCUGUGUAAUAAUGUAUGAACUGAUUUACCUUAACUAUCAUGCAAUAAACAAUGCAGUUAACAACGACCAGUCAGCAUGCAGUGGCAUUCAAUUUGACAUUGCAAGGCAUGAUUGUACAUGUAUUAACACAAGUUCCAUUAGUAGUUGCUAAUAAAUGCAUGUGUACAAAACGUGGUAUCUUUUUUUCCAUUUCAGAUAUCCCCAUCUUUAAUGUCCACUACUACAAUGCCACAUGGGUGUUGAAAAUCUCCUUAAUUCAUAUUUUGUCACGUGUGACCCAAAAAGGAUGCCGGUGUAAAAUUGCAAACGUUCCAGUCCGACAACUUUGUUAUCUGAAUUUACUGCAGAAUGCCCAAUCAAACCAUUUUAUUCUUGGACUGAAUUGACCAAUUUUUCACGGUACAUGUAUUCAUUUUAAUCUAAUUUUUUUCUCUCUUAACAUGUACUAUGCACUGGUUUCACAACGCUGCUUGACACAGCCUUCUGAAAUACACACAUUGGUGCA